UUCCUGUUCAAGUAACAAAUAAAAGCAAAUUACUGCAUCUCUACAGCUCUUCAAUACCCUAAAUGUAUUCUGCUGAGGACAUGCAGAGCUACCGAACAAUUAACAUGGACAAGCUAUGCUUGUAUCAGUCACACCAGAAGAUCCAGAAGUAAUGUGGCUUAUUUUCUUGCCUUCAUCUGGCCAAUAUUAUUCAAACAUAUAUACAAUAUUUAUACAAGAUAUAUAAAAGUAUUCUGAGGAGGUGGUGAUGCCCCUCAUCCACUUUAUCUCUGUAGUUUAGAGCAUUUUUGAGGAUAGGUGCUAAAACAAUUCAGGUCCUAAAACAGGUCUAAAACAAUUCAUCACUCCAAGGGCUGAAACAUCCCAAGAAAGUUGUUACCACCAGACAAGCCAGUUUAAAGGGUUUAGGUUGCCACUUUUAAAUCAUUCAGCACUUCUGUAUACUGGCCUAACAGCUAUGAGUUAAGUCAAAAAUAUUGAGUCCUUAGCCCAUUACCAGUAUCAUCAGUAGAAUUCCAGAGACAGCUAGGUUGGAAAACACCUUAGAAACAUCAAGUCCAACCUAUGAUCUCACACCAUCUUGUCAACUGUACCAUGGUACCAACUGCAAUCCAGUCUUCCCUUAAACAUCCACAGGGACUGUGACUCCACUGCCUCCCUGGGCAGCCCAUUCCAACACUCAAUCACCCUUUCUUCUUCCUGAUGUCCAACCUAAAAUACUGGGAUUCUUCACAGUAAAAACUUCAACUGGAGAGACUAAAAGCCCCAGUCCAGUUAUUUUACUGCCUCAAGAGGCAUCAUUUUGGAAGAUGAUGCAACAGAAAAAUCUAAGUUACUGCAUUUAAGCUGAUCUACACUAUCUCCUGUGUAAACUCCCAAGAGGAAGUCUGCACAAAGGAGCAGCUGCCAUAUGGUAACCUCCACCUACAAGAACAACGCUUAUGGCUCCAUCUCCUGUUUUUUCCUUGCCCACAUUACCUAAUGUGCUUCCAGGAUCUGUUGCCAAACUGAGAAAGUGGGAAACAGUGGACUGGAUAAAAAAGGAGGUAUCCAUUGAGACUAAAGAAUAUGGGAAAUAAAUACAUAAAGGAACAUGAGGUAAGUAGAUUGUAGACUUCUGUUUCAAGUUCAUUGGAAAAGAUCACCUUAGUUUACACUAGCAGGGAACUAGUUAUAAGGUGUUAUAGAUUAUAUGUGGGUAAACAAUUCAGUGUCACCUCAUUUAAAAUAUACUAUACAUAAAAGAUUAAUUUUUACAAAUAUGGCAUGUGUGUGUGAAAAACAAUGCUUUAUUCAAGACUGGUAUUACUGGUGAGAGAAAGUUUAUAUAGCAAGAAUUAAUCUUGCAUUUGAGUUAAUAAGGUUUGUGUUUGCUCUGUCAUUCUAUCAAGGAGGAAUUUUUAUUCUGUUAGGUCAAAUGUAUAAUCUCAGUUAAAAUGUCUGGAACUGAAAAAUUCUUAGUGAAUGGAUGGUGAGAAUACAGACAAAAGAACACACAAAAAGCUUUAAGGAAGAGCUUCAGUUCUGUUAAAUCUUUACCAGCCAUCAUAUUAAUUUCUCAUUGUACAGCUACUGUAUAUUUUUUUACUUUUCAGUGAAAGAUUCAUCUAAGCUUCUUAAGACAGAUACAAGUCAUCACAGAAUGUGCAAGCUAAAUAGGUAUCAGAGUUAGACUUUUCCUCAAAGCCAUGAUGAUAAACAACUACCACACCCAACUCCUCAUCAAAGAGGAAGUGGGACACACGUGGUCUUAUGAUAAAUCCCUGUGAAGUACUAUAAAAGGUAACAGGUAUUUCUGAAUUGUAUGAACUGUAGCUAGUAUAGAUAAAAACAGUCCAGUAUCUCCCUAUAUAUAUUACCUUCUCCCAGACAUCUUAAUGGUAGACACUGACUCCAAAAAAGACAAGGUACAUUCUUGAGACAUUGAGCCUGAAAUAAUUUAUCUCCCUCAUUCCUUUUAAAUAAAUCAAAAAAAGGUCCCAUACAUAUAAAAUCCUCCUUCUUUGAAACAAAAAUUUAUUUUUGUUUACGUCCCAUACUUCAUAUGCAAGUCUUCAUGAUUUCAGUGGUAUUAAUAAAAAAAAAAUUAACCUCUCCUGUGAAUGUGCAAAAGAAGAGAAUAAAAUAUAUGCAUUGAAGAAAUUG